UACGGAGGGGGUUAGCGUUGUUCGGAAUGACUGGGCGUAAAGCGCACGUAGGCGGAUUGUUAAGUCGGGGGUGAAAUCCUGGAGCUCAACUCCAGAACUGCCUUCGAUACUGGCAAUCUCGAGUCCGGAAGAGGUAAGUGGAACUCCUAGUGUAGAGGUGGAAUUCGUAGAUAUUAGGAGGAACACCGGUGGCGAAGGCGGCCUUCUGGACAGUGACUGACGCUGAGACGCGAAAGCGUGGGGAGCAAACAGG
rnacentral:rRNA from 1 species